rnacentral:rRNA from 1 species
CCUACGGGCGGCAGCAGUGGGGAAUAUUGGGCAAUGGGCGCAAGCCUGACCCAGCAACGCCGCGUGAAGGAAGAAGGCUUUCGGGUUGUAAACUUCUUUUAAGGGGGAAGAGCAGAAGACGGUACCCCUUGAAUAAGCCACGGCUAACUACGUGCCAGCAGCCGCGGUAAUACGUAGGUGGCAAGCGUUGUCCGGAUUUACUUGGUGUAAAGGGCGUGCAGCCGGAGAGACAAGUCAGUUGUGAAAUCCACGGGCUCAACCCGUGAACUGCAUUUGAAACUGUUUCCCUUGAGUGUCGGAGAGGUAAUCGGAAUUCCUUGUGUAGCGGUGAAAUGCGUAGAUAGAAGGAAGAACACCAGUGGCGAAGGCGGAUUACUGGACGAUAACUGACGGUGAGGCGCGAAAGCGUGGGGAGCAAACAGGAUUAGAUACCCUGGUAGUC